AGCGAACGCUGGCGGCAGGCUUAACACAUGCAAGUCGAGCGGGCACUUCGGAGUCAGCUGCUGACGCGUGAGUAGCACGUGGGAACGUACCCUUUUGUUCGGAAUUACGCUGUUUCACUGGCGCUAAUACCGGAUACGCUCCUCUGGGGCAAGGCUUGCUGCCGAAGGAUCGGCCCGAGUCUGCUUAGCCUGUUGGUGGUGUAAUGGCCUACCAAGGCGACGAUCAGUAGCUGGUCUGAGAGGAUGAUCAGCCACACUGGGUCGGAGGCACGGCCGGGACUCUUACGGGAGGCAGCAGUGGGGAAUAUGGGACAAGGGGCGCAAGCCUGAUCGAGCCAGGCCGCGUAAGUGAUGAAGGCCUGAGGGUAGUAAAGCUCUGUUGUCCGGGACGAUAAUGACGGUACCGGAAGAAUAAGCCCCGGCUAACUUCGUG
rnacentral:rRNA from 1 species